AGAGAAGCCGUUAGGUUCGCAGUAGAUUGUGUAACAUGUGGCAGGAUAUGAUAAGCAAUGGAUGUGUAGGAGAAUACUUGUAAAAGGUAUUGAUAGGGUUAGGAGAAGAGGAGGGGCAUUGAUGACCAAAUGUGAGGUAUAUUACCAAAUGUGCAUUGUAUGAUUUUCAGAACGUUCUCUGAAUAAAUUUCUGACCUAUUGCAGACUGGGACUUUGUCUAAUUCUUCAUUAACCAGCUCCCACUGAAGCUCCCAAUGCUGCACCAACUGCCAUACCGAUUGGGCCUCCAACUACUCCCACAAUCGCUCCGAUUCCGGCACCUGUCCUUAAGCGGAUCCUGUUCUUCUCCUCUUCAAUCACUCUCUCAGCCUCCUGGAACAUCUCAGUGGUGAAAUGACUUCCUCCAGUCAUCUCAACCAUCUUGUUUAUCUUCUCAAGGAGCUCAGG